rnacentral:rRNA from 1 species
GAUGAACGCUAGCUACAGGCUUAACACAUGCAAGUCGAGGGACCGGCGCACGGGUGAGUAACACGUAUCCAACCUGCCCUUUACUCGGGGAUAGACUUUCGAAAGAAAGAUUAAUACCAGAUGUAAAGGAUGGGGAUGCGUUCCAUUAGGUUGUUGGAGAGGUAACGGCUCACCAAGCAUUCGAUGGAUAGGGGUUCUGAUUGGAAGGUCCCCCACAGUGGAACGGAGACACGGUCCAAACUCCGACGGGAGGCAGCAGUGAGGAAUAUUGGUCAAUGGGCGUUAGCCUGAACCAGCCAAGUAGCUGGAAGGAUGAAGGCUUAUGGGUCGUAAACUUCUUUUAUAGAAGAAUAUGUAUUAUAUGAAUAAGGAUCGGCUAACUCCGUGCCAGCAGCCGCGGUAAUAC